CUCCUACGGGUGGCUGCAGUGGGGAAUUUUGGACAAUGGGGGAAACCCUGGUCCAGCCAUGCCGCGUGCGGGAAGAAGGCCUUCGGGUUGUAAACCGCUUUUGUCAGGGAAGAAAUCCUUUGGGUUAAUACCUCGGAGGGAUGACGGUACCUGAAGAAUAAGCACCGGCUAACUACGUGCCAGCAGCCGCGGUAAUACGUAGGGUGCGAGCGUUAAUCGGAAUUACUGGGCGUAAAGCGUGCGCAGGCGGUUUUGUAAGAUCGAUGUGAAAUCCCCGGGCUCAACCUGGGAACUGCAUUGGUGACUGCAAGGCUGGAGUGCGGCAGAGGGGGAUGGAAUUCCGCGUGUAGCAGUGAAAUGCGUAGAUAUGCGGAGGAACACCGAUGGCGAAGGCAAUCCCCUGGGCCUGCACUGACGCUCAUGCACGAAAGCGUGGGGAGCAAACAGGAUUAGAUACCCUGGUAGUCCACGCCCUAAACGAUGUCGACUAGUUGUUGGACGGCUUGCUGUUCAGUAACGUAGCUAACGCGUGAAGUCGACCG
rnacentral:rRNA from 1 species